rnacentral:rRNA from 1 species
UACAGAGGUCUCAAGCGUUGUUCGGAUUCAUUGGGCGUAAAGGGUGCGUAGGUGGCGCUGUAAGUCGGGUGUGAAAUUUCGGAGCUUAACUCCGAAACUGCAUUCGAUACUGCGGUGCUUGAGGACUGGAGAGGAGACUGGAAUUCAUGGUGUAGCAGUGAAAUGCGUAGAGAUCAUGAGGAAGACCAGUGGCGAAGGCGGGGUCUCUGGACAGUUCCUGACAUUGAGGCACGAAGGCCAGGGGAGCAAACGGG